UACGUAGGGUGCGAGCGUUGUCCGGAAUUAUUGGGCGUAAAGAGCUCGUAGGCGGUUUGUCACGUCUGCUGUGAAAACCCGCGGCUCAACCGUGUGGUCUGCAGUCGAUACGGGCUGGCUGGAGUUCGGUAGGGGAGACUGGUAUUCCUGGUGUAGCGGUGAAAUGCGCAGAUAUCAGGAGGAACACCGGUGGCGAAGGCGGGUCUCUGGGCCGAUACUGACACUCAGGUGCGACAGCGUGGGGAGCAAACAGG
rnacentral:rRNA from 1 species